UAAGACGACCCCCAACUUUUGAGAAGAUUUUCCUGGGUUAAAAAGUAGUCUUAUACGCCAGAAAAUACAGUACCUUAGGGAAUGCCUCCUCUCCCAUGUUCCGGCACACCACUUAAGGUCCUCAGAGGGCAUCUGCUGUUACUGCCUAGUGUAAGAUUGGCAGUCACACACUAGAGGACCUCUUUGCUGCCCCUCCUCAGCUGUGAAAUGCGCCUGCUGUCUUUUUUGAAUAUCAUUAAGCAGGCAUUAAAGACUUAUUCCAACAGUCCUUCCCUUUUUAGUAUCUUCUUGCUAACCAUCAUAUUGUUUUUCUGUUGUAUGGUUUUAUUGAUUUAUCUAAAAAAAAAUUAAGCUUUUUUAUGCUACCUAUGUUAUUGAUUUUUAUAUCUUGUUUUAACUUUGUACAUUGCCUAGGAUAUUCUGUAUAUAGGCAGGGAAUAAAUUGAAUAAAUAUAUAAAUUUCA